AUCAUCAAUUAGCGUACGCCCAGACCUAGGGUUUUAAAACUGCAGUGAUGAUUUCGAUUCGAUUCGGAUUCGAAUCGGCUUGAAUUCGUCUGAGAAAACCCUUGAAAUGGCAGAUUUGAGGAAUAUUCCAACGAUUAUGGUGUAACUCGUUAGAAAUCGAGAUCAGUGACCGCCGAUUCUGAUCUGAAUUCGGCGAUUCCUGAUCCGAUUCGCGGAUUCUUUAAACCCUUCCCAGCCCAUGCAAGUUGGCGCCACUGUGUAUUCUUUGCGACUCUGUGUCGCGUCGUUACUCCCUAGUCCUCGUCUCUCACUCUCUCUCUCUCUCUUCCAUCUUGCAGUUUCCAGCCAAAGCCAAUACCUAACUUAGAAAGUUGAAGUGGUUUGGCCAUUAACAGUAUCUUCCUUUCUUUCGUUCGUCCACAAAAUGGCUCUGAAGUGGCUUUGCCGACGCAACAAACAUGAGUGCGAGUUCUUCGAAUUCAUUGGCGGCAGGUGGCUCAGGAAAGAAGGUUAGGAAACCUUAUACCAUCACCAAGUCCAGGGAAGUAUGGACUGAUGAAGAGCACUCUAAGUUUCUUGAUGCUCUGCAACUGUAUAAUCGUGACUGGAAGAAGAUUGCAGAUUUUGUCGAUUCAAAGACUGUAAUUCAGAUACGGAGCCAUGCCCAAAAAUACUUUCUGAAGGCCCAGAAAAGUGGUAUAAUAGUCCAUGUACCUCCUCCUCGCCCCAAGUGUAAAGCUGCUAAUCCUUAUCCGCGGAAGGCACCCAAAAAUGCUGAUAAUGGACCAGAGGGGGUUACAAGGACAGGUAACAACAGCUUUAAUGGUAUUGGAAGCUCAAGUAGAUCUUCUCCCAGUUGUGACAUACCAAGUCAAGGAAAGAAAGGGUCUCUACUUCAUGGUACUCCAGACUUUCCUAAAAUAUAUCGUUUCAUUGGAAGUGUCUUUGACCCAGACUCCAAAGGUCAUGUCCAGAAGCUUAAGGAGAUGGAUCCCAUUGAUAUUGAAACAGCCUUGCUGCUGAUGAGAAACCUGAACAUCAAUUUGUCUACCCUGAUUUCGAACCAAGUCAAUCAACUCCAAAUUCAUGCAGGCGAGAAGAUCCCAUCCUUGAAUGAGGCGUUUUAUCAGAUUCAACGAAUUGUAUCUCCCUCCGCCAAGUCUGAAUCAUCCUCUUCUAAAGAUAAUUCAGCACUUAUUUCAAAGAGUGGAGGUUGUGGUUGUGGUGCUAGUUUUCCUGGCAGAGGUCGAUGUUUGGGGGGAGGCCAAGGUCAUGGUGGAGGUAAAGGCAAAGGACAACCACUAGAUCUAGGCAUGCGUCAAUGUACAUAUUGUGGAAAGAUUAAUCACACUAUUGAUACAUGUUGGGCCGAGCAUGGUAAACCCAAGUGGGCUCAGAAAUUGUAUGCUACUACUAUUACACUUGAUCAGAGUUCUACAGCGGCGUCAUCUUCCGACACAAAUCAUGCUUCUACAUCUGGAGGUAUUGGUGCAUUUCUUGCCUCCUCUUCUACACCGUGUGUCAUCGACUCUGGUGCCACCUCUCAUAUGACUGGUUUACGAGUGCCAUCCCAAAGUGACUUCAACUAUUCUUGGUGAUUCUUCGCUGCCACCCUCUACUCCAUAAGACUCUUUGCCUGAGGAUUCUUUCUCCAUUGACUUUCCCAUUGCUCUUUGUAAAGGCCAUGGGAGUUUUGAAUGUAAUGGUUAGAGAUGGCAUUGAAACUCAGCAUCCCUUGCAGCUGCAGAUUUUAGAAUUCGAGGAUGUGAUAAAUGCCCAUUGACCUCUCAAGGAAAACUUUCUGCUGGGCACCAGAUAGUAAACUUCAACUGGAUUUUGUCUGUCACCGUGGGCUGUCGGAGUUCCAAUGUCUGCCUCUGCUGUUGUUUGCUGGUCACUUUUGAUGAACAGCUACAGAAGACUUGUGAAGUUGGAUAACCUUGAGACUAUAGGCAUGGUUGAGUAACCAGUGAUGAGAAAGGUUGAUUCAGUUUGUAAACAUGCACAUGCAACAGUGGAAGUUGCUUUAACAAAAAACAGUAAAAAAGGCUUCCCUGACUAAAUCUAGGUCAUUGAAUGGACAUGUUGAAGAUGGUUCUUCAGAGACACAGACCUACAACAUCCAAAUUUUUCACAAGAGCAUUGGUUGUAAGAGGGCCUCUGUACUCUGUUUUGGAAAUGGUGUCACCCUCUAAUAUAGUCUUUCAACAUCUAAAAGAUUCUGGAUAUGCAUUGUAUGAAUCCACACAGAUUGAGUAGUUUAUAAUGUUUGUUUAUACUUUAUACACAAAAUUCCUACACAAAACCUCAGAAUUUUGGUGAACUGAAAUGAAAUGAUGGGAUUGGUCAAGGCUAUUCCCCCUUCCCAAUG